UAUGUUAGCUCAGUGGUUAGAGCUUAGAGCUCAGAACCAGAUGGUCUCGGGAUCGAAUCCCGCCAGAG
rnacentral:tRNA from 1 species